rnacentral:rRNA from 1 species
UACGUAGGGUGCAAGCGUUAAUCGGAAUUACUGGGCGUAAAGCGUGCGCAGGCGGUGAUGUAAGACAGAUGUGAAAUCUCCGGGCUCAACCUGGGAACUGCAUUUGUGACUGCAUCGCUGGAGUGCGGCAGAGGGGGAUGGAAUUCCGCGUGUAGCAGUGAAAUGCGUAGAUAUGCGGAGGAACACCGAUGGCGAAGGCAAUCCCCUGGGCCUGCACUGACGCUCAUGCACGAAAGCGUGGGGAGCAAACAGG